rnacentral:rRNA from 1 species
UACAGAGACCUCAAGCGUUAUCCGGAAUCAUUGGGCGUAAAGCGUACCGAUAGGUGGUUUUACAAGUCAGAAGUGAAAUCUCUCAGCUUAACUGGGAGACUGUCUUUUGAAACUGUAAAACUUGAAGGGCAAAGAGGAAGCUGGAACAAACGGUGUAGUAGUGAAAUGCGUUGAUAUCGUUUGGAACACCAAUAGCGUAGGCAGGCUUCUGGGUGCCACUUGACACUGCUAGGACGAAAGCGUGGGGAGCGAUAAGG